UCCCCCCCCCUUAUUAUUUUAUUAGGGCCCCCACCCACAGCGCAGGGGUGGGGGCCAGGGGGGGAGGACAGUAGGUCCCCCCCCCUUAUUUUAUUAGGGCCCCCACCCACAGCGCAGGGGUGGGGGCCAGGGGGGGAGGACAGU